AGCUUUAUGAACUUGUAUAAAGUAACUCCUGCUCAGUGAACCUCAACAGCCGCAGAAUUUAAUACUGUGCUAAGGUAGCAUAAUCACUUGUCUUCUAAUUAAAGAAUAGAAUGAACGGAAAAACGAAUUUUAAUCUGUUUCAUUUAUUUUUAAUAAAAUUACCAAAAAGUAAAAACACUUUUUUUUUAAAAAAAGACGAUAAGACCCUAAAAGAACUUUACUAAAGUUUAGCUGGGGCGGCUUUUUAAAAAAAUCUUAUUUAAAAAUUUUAACUCCUUCAUAAAUUUAACAAUGUUACCUUAGGGAUAACAGCAUAAUUUAAUUUAAUAGCUCUUAUUUAAAAUUAAGAUUAUGACCUCCAUGUUGAAUUAAAAAUCUUCUAAACGAAAAAAAUUAGAAAGAAAGUCUGUUCGACUUUUAAUUAUUUACA
rnacentral:rRNA from 1 species